rnacentral:rRNA from 1 species
AGUGAACGCUGGCGGUAGGCCUAACACAUGCAAGUCGAACGGCAGCACAGAGGAGCUUGCUCCUUGGGUGGCGAGUGGCGGACGGGUGAGGAAUACAUCGGAAUCUACUCUGUCGUGGGGGAUAACGUAGGGAAACUUACGCUAAUACCGCAUACGACCUACGGGUGAAAGCAGGGGAUCUUCGGACCUUGCGUGAUUGAAUGAGCCGAUGUCGGAUUAGCUAGUUGGCGGGGUAAAGGCCCACCAAGGCGACGAUCCGUAGCUGGUCUGAGAGGAUGAUCAGCCACACUGGAACUGAGACACGGUCCAGACUCCUACGGGAGGCAGCAGUGGGGAAUAUUGGACAAUGGGCGCAAGCCUGAUCCAGCCAUACCGCGUGCGUGAAGAAGGCCUUCGGGUUGUAAAGCCCUUUUGUUGGGAAAGAAAUCCAUCUGGUUAAUACCCGGAUGGGAUGACGGUACCCAAAGAAUAAGCACCGGCUAACUUCGUGCCAGCCGCCGCGGUAA